UCCUAUGAAAGAUAAGCCAUCAGCUCCUUA
rnacentral:piRNA from 1 species